rnacentral:tRNA from 1 species
AGUUAAUGAACUUGAUAAAGUAUAUGUUUUGAAAGCAUAAUAAAGAGGUAUAAUCCCCUAUUAACUU